UGAGAAGAGCUGUAGCUCAGUGAUAGACCAUCUGCUUUGCAUGUAGAAGGUCCCAGGUUCAUUCCUUGGUGUCUCAU